GCCGGUGAUCCCAAGCUUGUCCUGCUGCACGUCCACCAGCCUGCCGACAGAAUCAUGAUAGGUAAAAGGGUCCGGCUUAGCUUCAGUAUGACUUUUUUCAUCUCAUCUGCAUCAACUUGACCAUGGAGAAGAAAGGAUUGUGGCUAGUAGUCUGAUUUUCUUGUUAUUUCUGUCAGCACUUCAGUCGUUUCAGAAGUAGUUUGCGUAUCUAUGGGGAAAAAACAAACCUUGAUCUUACUGGAUUUGAUCCCCAUCUCCAUUUUCCUUUUCCAUCCCCUGUUUCGCAAGAGAAUAUGCUGAAACGAUACAAAUGAAAUUAGCAGCAAGCAGAAGUAGUCCUCUUUUGUUCGAUGUUGCUGUCAGACAGUUUCAGAAAGCACUCCCCUGUUUUCAGUAGGCAUUGCAAAUACUUGUUCAGUAAUCUAUGCUGAUUCAACUCUAAUGUUGCCGGCGCAGG
rnacentral:lncRNA from 1 species